GGGGAUUUAGCUCAGUGGUAGAGAGCUUGCCUAGCAAGUGCAAGGCCCUGGGUUCGAUCCCCAGCCCCA
rnacentral:tRNA from 1 species